rnacentral:lncRNA from 1 species
UUGUUCUGGGGUUUGGGACCUUUGCUGUGUCUAAGCUGCUCACGAUUGACACAUGUAUGUUUUCCUGUUUUAGAUUAUGUUCUUGGUUUUUAUAUUUUGGAUUUGAUGCUCAUACGCAAGUAAGCUGCAGAGAUUUUAAUUGGGUUUGUGUUUGCAGUAGUGAGCUUUGAAAUGGGUAAUGAUGUUAUGAAAUUGUACUUGGUUUAAGCCAGUUUAGAGUUGUUUAGGUUGGAUGACUGCUAGUAUAAUGAUUGUGCUGAGGAAUGUCUUAAUUUGUUCAUGAUUGGUUUCAAGUUCUAAGUUGUCUUGCUGAACUUAGUUGAUCUUGAAUCCGUGGUUGAUUUCAAUAUACUGUUAAGUAUCUGCAGGGUUCAGAACUUAAUGCUGAGAGCUGAAUCAAUAUCCAGUUCUUUCCUCAUUGAUAAAAGCAUUUAGGCCCCAAUAAAAGUGUUCAACCAUACACUUAGGGGCUCCUAAUUUCAAUAUACUGUUAAGUAUCUGCAGGGUUCAGAACUUAAUGGUGAGAGCUGAAUCAAUAUCCAGUUCUUUCCUCAUUGAUAAAAGCAUUUAGGCCCCGAUAAAAGCGAUCAACCAUAAUUACACUUAGGCGCUCCUAAAGGGAGCCUAACCACUAGAGAGUCAAUUUAACCAAAAAAAUUCAUGGGAUCCUAAAUCUCAUAUAUACGAGCUUCUUGUUCGAAAACGGGGAAAAAUAGGAUCUCGCACGAUAUCAGUCAACCGCGUUUCGUGUAAAAAACAAGGUAUAUUUAAGGUUGACCGAUUCGAUGGGGAGCGUAACAAAUCCGAAACGGGGUGGAUUUUUUUCAGUAGACCUAUUUAAUUACCAUGCCUACAUCAGACGGUAAAAUUUGUAUUUUCAUGUAUUUAUGACCUUGGAUCGUCACGUGUCUACUAAUCCCUAUAACUUGUUUAAUAAAUUAUAUUCAAGUGUAUAUCAUUGCCAAUUAUACAGUUAAAACAAAAUUUUCAAAAAUCUUGUGAAAUAGGAUGUGAUCGAAAUAGUCGAAUACAACUAAAGAUGUAAAAUCACAAACUUCCGGUAAAGUUUAGGUCUCAAUAAAAGCGGUCAACCCCUAAUUACGUUUAGGCGUUCCUAAGGGGAGCCUAACCACCGGAGGGUCAAUUAACAAAAAAAAAUUCAUGGGAUCCUAAAUCUCAUAUAUAUGAGCUUCUUGUUCGAAAACGGGGAAAAAUAAGAUCUCGCACGUUGUCGGUCAAUCGCGUUUCGUGUAAAAAACGAGGUAUAUUUAAGGUUGACCGAUUCGAUGGGGGCGUAACAAAUCCGAAACAGGGUGGAUUUUUUUCAGUAGACCUAUUUAUUUACCAAGCCUACAUCAAACGGUGGAAUUUUUAUUUUCACAUAAUUAUGACCUCGGAUCGCAGCGUGCCUACUAAAACGGUAUAACUUGUUUAGUAGGUUAUAUUCAAGUGUAUAUCAUUGUGAACCAACUCUACAGACAAAACAAAAUUUUCGAAAAUCUUGUGAAAUAAGAUGUGAUCAAAAUAGUGAAAAACGGCUAAAGAUGAAAAAUCACAAACUUCCGGUGAUGUUUAGGCCCCGAUAAAAACAGUCAACCCUAAUUACGCUUAGGCGUUCCUAAGAGGAGCCUAACUACCGGAGAGUCAAUUUAAUAAAAAAAAUUCAUGGGAUCCUAAAUCUCAUAUAUACGAGCUUCUUGUUCGAAAACGAGGAAAAAUAAGAUCUCGCACGAUGUCGGUAAACCGUGUUUCGUGUAAAAAAAGAGGUAUAUUUAAGGUUGACCGAUUCGAUGGGGGGCGUAAAUAAUCCAAAACGGGGUGAAUUUUUUUCAGUAGACCUAUUUAAUUACCAUGCCUACAUUAGACGGUGAAAUUUUUAUUUUUAUGUAAUUAUGAUCUCGGAUCGCAGCGUGACUACUAAAACGGUGUAACUUGUUUAAUAUGUUAUAUUCAAGUGUAAUAAGAUGAGAUCCUAAAUCUCAUAUAUACGAGUUUUUUGUUCGAAAACAAAGAAAAAUAAGAUCUCGCACAAUGUCGGUCAACCAUGUUUCGUGUAAAAAACGAGGUAUAUUUAAGGUUGACCGAUUCGAUAAGAGGUGUAUUAAAUCCGAAACGUUUUUAAAUUCUAAAAAUCAUAAGAAUUAAGAGACGCACUAUCUACCCUUAUAAAAUAAUUUUUUUAUGUGUGAUUCAACUCGCUCGUAAACUAAUUUAAUUAUAUACAUCGACGUGACAUAACUAACUCUACUGACCCAUACCCUAUUUGUCAUGCAUGAUCCCCUGCAAUACACAUACCCAUCUACCUUGGCUUUUUUUGACUAAACACCUCUACAAGCUAGCUUCACCACUGUCAAACCUGUACCAAUUAAUUCUGUUUUUAUUUAUAUAAUUUUUUUUACGUAUUAUAUGAACACGACGACCUAUUUCAUCAACAUGGCACGACGAUCAAUGAAGACUUUUCUCCCAAUGGCGGAUCCAGGAUUUAGAACAAGCUGAGUGGGCUUGAAAUUGUUUCUCUUCAAAUCGAUUACCUAUCAAUUUUUAGCUAACUACAAUAUGUAUCUAAAACUACGAUUUAAUUGAUUAUUAAACAAAAAAAUAAUCCUUUACCGUGAAAAAUAGUAAAAUAACGACUUGCAAUAGUUAUAAACACGCGGCUACAAAAAAUACUUUUUUUGAGCUUGGUAUGUAUCGGGAGAAUUACAAGAAAAAAAAAAAAAAAAAA